UACGGGGGGGGCAAGCGUUGUUCGGAAUUACUGGGCGUAAAGGGCUCGUAGGCGGCCAACUAAGUCAGACGUGAAAUCCCUCGGCUUAACCGGGGAACUGCGUCUGAUACUGGAUGGCUUGAGGUUGGGAGAGGGAUGCGGAAGUUCCAGGUGUAGCGGUAGAAAUGCGUAGAUAUCUGGAGGAACACCGGUGGCGAAGGCGGCAUCCUGGACCAAUUCUGACGCUGAGGAGCGAAAGCCAGGGGAGCAAACGGG
rnacentral:rRNA from 1 species